CGCGCAAAGGGGGAAGCAUGAUAAGCGAGCAGCGUGUACAGAAGAAGGCCUUCGGGUUGUAAAACUCUUUCGGCCGGGAAGAAAUCGCAUGGGCCAAUACCCUGUGUGGAUGACGGUACCGGAAUAAGAAGCACCGGCUAAAUACGUGCCAGCAGCCGCGGUAAUAA
rnacentral:rRNA from 1 species